rnacentral:rRNA from 1 species
UAAUACNUAAGUAACCUGGCAUCUACAGGGGGACAACUGAUGGAAACGUCAGCUAAGACCGCAUAGGUGUAGAGAUCGCAUGAACUCUAUAUGAAAAGUGCUACGGGACUGGUAGAUGAUGGACUUAUGGCGCAUUAGCUUGUUGAUAGGGUAACGGCCUACCAAGGCGACGAUGCGUAGCCGACCUGAGAGGGUGACCGGCCACACUGGGACUGAGACACGGCCCAGACUCCUACGGGAGGCAGCAGUAGGGAAUUUUCGGCAAUGGGGGAAACCCUGACCGAGCAACGCCGCGUGAAGGAAGAAGUAAUUCGUUAUGUAAACUUCUGUCAUAGAGGAAGAACGGUGGAUAUAGGGAAUGAUAUCCAAGUGACGGUACUCUAUAAGGAAGCCACGGCUAACUACGUGCCAGCAGCCGCGGUAAUACGUAGGUGGCGAGCGUUAUCCGGAAUUAUUGGGCGUAAAGAGGGAGCAGGCGGCACUAAGGGUCUGUGGUGAAAGAUCGAAGCUUAACUUCGGUAAGCCAUGGAAACCGUAGAGCUAGAGUGUGUGAGAGGAUCGUGGAAUUCCAUGUGUAGCGGUGAAAUGCGUAGAUAUAUGGAGGAACACCAGUGGCGAAGGCGACGAUCUGGCGCAUAACUGACGCUCAGUCCCGAAAGCGUGGGGAGCAAAUAGGAUUAGAUACCCUAGUAGUCUGCGCCGUAAACGAUGAGUACUAAGUGU